CUAUUUUGUCAGAUUCUAAUGUGUUAAAUUUAGGAUUUAAUUAUGUACUUUUACAAGUAGA
rnacentral:tRNA from 1 species